rnacentral:rRNA from 1 species
CUACGUGCCAGCAGCCGCGGUAAUACGUAGGGUGCGAGCGUUAAUCGGAAUUACUGGGCGUAAAGCGAGCGCAGACGGUUACUUAAGCAGGAUGUGAAAUCCCCGGGCUCAACCUGGGAACUGCGUUCUGAACUGGGUGACUAGAGUGUGUCAGAGGGAGGUAGAAUUCCACGUGUAGCAGUGAAAUGCGUAGAGAUGUGGAGGAAUACCGAUGGCGAAGGCAGCCUCCUGGGAUAACACUGACGUUCAUGCUCGAAAGCGUGGGUAGCAAACAGGAUUAGAUACCCUGGUAGUCCACGCCCUAAACGAUGUCAAUUAGCUGUUGGGCAACUUGAUUGUUUAGUAGCGUAGCUAACGCGUGAAAUUGACCGCCUGGGGAGUACGGUCGCAAGAUUAAAACUCAAAGGAAUUGACGGGGACCCGCACAAGCGGUGGAUGAUGUGGAUUAAUUCGAUGCAACGCGAAGAACCUUACCUGGUCUUGACAU